rnacentral:rRNA from 1 species
CCUACGGGUGGCAGCAGUGAGGAAUAUUGGUCAAUGGGAGAGAUCCUGAACCAGCCAAGCCGCGUGAGGGAAGACGGCCCUAUGGGUUGUAAACCUCUUUUGUCGGAGAACAAAACCCGGGACGUGUCCCGGACUGCGUGUAUCCGAAGAAAAAGCAUCGGCAAACUCCGUGCCAGCAGCCGCGGUAAUACGGAUGAUGCGAGCGUUAUCCGGACUUAUUGGGGUUAAGGGUGGCGUAGGCGGUCCGUUAAGUCAGCGGUAAAAUUGGGGGGCUCAACCCCGUCGAGCCGUUGAAACUGGCAGACUGGAGUGGGCGAGAGGUACGCGGAAUGCGCGGUGUAGCGGUGAAAUGCAUAGAUAUCGCGCAGAACUCCGGUUGCGAAGGCAGCGUACCGGCGCCAGACUGACGCUGAGGCACGAAAGCGUGGGGAGCGAACAGGAUUAGAUACCCUAGUAGUC